rnacentral:misc_RNA from 1 species
UACGGAGGGUGCAAGCGUUAAUCGGAAUUAUUGGGCGUAAAGCGCGCGCAGGCGGUUCCUUAAGUCUGAUGUGAAAGCCCCCGGCUCAACCGGGGAGGGUCAUUGGAAACUGGGGAACUUGAGUGCAGAAGAGAAGAGUGGAAUUCCACGUGUAGCGGUGAAAUGCGUAGAGAUGUGGAGGAACACCAGUGGCGAAGGCGACUCUUUGGUCUGUAACUGACGCUGAGGCGCGAAAGCGUGGGGAGCAAACAGG